GACGAACGCUGGCGGCGUGCUUAACACAUGCAAGUCGUACGGUAAGGGACGAGCGUGGUUACACGGAUCACGAACGAAUGAGUAACAAAUGAGUAAGUAGCCUACACCAGACGCAGAACGAUAGGAUAGUAAUGCCGAUAAUGAAUGGAUACGCCUCCUGCAUGCAUGGGUUCGGUAUGCUAAGGUGGUUGGUGGGGGACGCGCGGGCGGCCUGUUAGCUUGUUGGUGAGGUAACGGCUCACCAAGGGAACGACGGCUAGCCGGCCUGGGGGGGCGACCGGCCACACUGGGACUGAGACCCGGCCCAGACUCCUACGGGAGGCAGCAGUGGGGAAUAUUGCAAAAUGGGCGAAAGCCUGAUGCAGCGACGCCGCGUGAGGGAUGACGGCCUUCGGGUUGUAAACCUCUUUCAGCAGGGAAGAAGCGAAAGUGACGGUACCUGCAGAAGAAGCACCGGCUAACUACGUG
rnacentral:rRNA from 1 species